GAAGUACUUCUGUAGAAGACGGCUCCGUGGCAAAUUGUGGGUGGACAAUGUGGUGUGCCUCAAGGCAACGCUUCGUGGUUCUUAAAGAGGGCGGUAUCGCACGAGGGUGGCAACACAGCAGUGAAAACGCACCUCCCGCAAUGGUGUCAGGAUAAGCUGUUGGAGGAGGUAAACUUC
rnacentral:SRP_RNA from 1 species